rnacentral:sRNA from 1 species
UGACCACCCCGCACGGCGGGGCCGAAGGCCAUACGGACAGCCGGGUCAACUGCCG